GACAGAGGGUGCAAACGUUGCUCGGAAUCACUGGGCGUAAAGCGCACGUAGGCGGAUCGCUAAGUCAGGGGUGAAAUCCUGGAGCUCAACUCCAGAACUGCCCUUGAUACUGGCGACCUCGAGUCCGGGAGAGGUGAGUGGAACUGCGAGUGUAGAGGUGAAAUUCGUAGAUAUUCGCAAGAACACCAGUGGCGAAGGCGGCUCACUGGCCCGGUACUGACGCUGAGGUGCGAAAGCGUGGGGAGCAAACAGG
rnacentral:rRNA from 1 species